GGUUUUAACCCAAGUUAACCAAG
rnacentral:misc_RNA from 1 species